rnacentral:rRNA from 1 species
GAUGAACGCUGGCGGCGUGCCUAAUACAUGCAAGUCGAGCGAACGGACGAGAAGCUUGCUUCUCUGAUGUUAGCGGCGGACGGGUGAGUAACACGUGGAUAACCUACCUAUAAGACUGGGAUAACUUCGGGAAACCGGAGCUAAUACCGGAUGAUAUUUUGAACCGCAUGGUUCAAAAGUGAAAGACGGUCUUGCUGUCACUUAUAGAUGGAUCCGCGCUGCAUUAGCUAGUUGGUAAGGUAACGGCUUACCAAGGCAACGAUGCAUAGCCGACCUGAGAGGAUGAUCGGCCACACUGGAACUGAGACACGGUCCAGACUCCUACGGGAGGCAGCAGUAGGGAAUCUUCCGCAAUGGGCGAAAGCCUGACGGAGCAACGCCGCGUGAGUGAUGAAGGUCUUCGGAUCGUAAAACUCUGUUAUUAGGGAAGAACAUAUGUGUAAGUAACUGUGCACAUCUUGACGGUACCUAAUCAGAAAGCCACGGCUAACUACGUG